AUAUACAUCUGUUAUCAAUCAUUAAAACAAAUUGUUAAACAAGAAAAAGUGUUUAAAACAUAUAUGAUAUAUAUAUGAAAUAUUUAAAACAUAUAUAUAUGAAAUAUUUAAAACAAUAAACACAAUUAAAAACAAAAUCAGUUCUUUAAAAACAAGAAAGCACUAUGUCAUAUACAUGUAUAUAAAAAUAUUGCUUUGGUCAUAUCAAUUGUCAUUGACAAAUCCUCCUUUUUUUCCCUAAAAACAGGUUGACACAUUCCCUGAUAUCCAGGGUCAUUUUUAGUAACCAAAAUUUAUUAAAUUACAAAAAAAAAAUAACUUUACAAAUUAACCCCUUCCCCUCUACACCCUUUUCCAAAUUAAAUUAAUAUAGAUACAACAAGUUUUACUACUUUCAUGGCAC
rnacentral:lncRNA from 1 species